UAAAGGCCUACCAAGGCAGUGAUCUAUAGCUGGUCUGAGAGGAUGAUCAGCCACACUGGAACUGAGAUACGGUCCAGACUCCUACGGGAGGCAGCAGUGGGGAAUAUUGGACAAUGGGCGCAAGCCUGAUCCAGCUAUGCCGCGUGAGUGAGGAAGGCCUUAGGGUUGUAAAACUCUUUCAGUGGGGAAGAUAAUGACGGUACCCACAGAAGAAGUCCCGGCAAACUCCGUGCCAGCAGCCGCGGUAAUACGGAGGGGGCAAGCGUUGUUCGGAAUUAUUGGGCGUAAAGGGCAUGUAGGCGGUUCGGUAAGUUAAAGGUGAAAUGCCAGGGCUUAACCCUGGAGCUGCUUUUAAUACUGCCCAGACUCGAGUCCGGGA
rnacentral:rRNA from 1 species